UACGUAGGGUGCAAGCGUUAUCCGGAAUCACUGGGCGUAAAGAGCUCGUAGGUGGUUUGUCGCGUUGUUCGUGAAAACUCACAGCUUAACUGUGGGCGUGCGGGCGAUACGGGCAGACUUGAGUACUGCAGGGGAGACUGGAAUUCCUGGUGUAGCGGUGGAAUGCGCAGAUAUCAGGAGGAACACCGGUGGCGAAGGCGGGUCUCCGGGCAGUAACUGACGCUGAGGAGCGAAAGCGUGGGGAGCGAACAGG
rnacentral:rRNA from 1 species